AUUGAACGCUGGCGGCAGGCUUAACACAUGCAAGUCGAGCGGGGUGAUGGUGCUUGCACUAUCACUUAGCGGCGGACGGGUGAGUAAUGCUUAGGAAUCUGCCUAUUAGUGGGGGACAACAUCUCGAAAGGGAUGCUAAUACCGCAUACGUACUACGGGAGAAAGCAGGGGAUCACUUGUGACGUUGCGCUAAUAGAUGAGCCUAAGUCGGAUUAGCUAGUUGGUGGGGUAAAGGCCUACCAGGGCGACGAUCUGUAGCGGGUCUGAGAGGAUGAGCCGGCACACUGGGACUGAGACACGGCCCAGACUCCUACGGGAGGCAGCAGUGGGGAAUAUUGGACAAUGGGGGGAACCCUGAUCCAGCCAUGCCGCGUGUGUGAAGAAGGCCUUAUAGUUGUAAAGCACUUUAAGCGAGGAGGAGGCUCUUUUGGUUAAUACCCAAGAUGAGUGGACGUUACUCGCAGAAUAAGCACCGGCUAACUCUGUGCCAGCCGCCGCCGUAA
rnacentral:rRNA from 1 species